GAAAUGCGAUAAGUAAUGUGAAUUGCAGAAUUCAGUGAAUCAUCGAAUCUUUGAACGCACCUUGCGCUCCUUGGUAUUCCUUGGAGCAUGCCUGUUUGAGUAUCAUGAAAUCUUCAAAGUAAAUCUUUUGUUAACUCAAUUGGUUUCUACUUUGGUAUUGGAGGUCUUUGCAGCUUCACACCUGCUCCUCUUUGUUUAUUAGCUGGAUCUCAGUGUUAUGCUUGGUUCCACUCGGCGUGAUAAGUUAUCUAUCGCUGAGGACACUGUAAAAGGUGGCCAAGGUAAAUGCGGAUGAACCGCUUCUAAUAGUCCAUUGACUUGGACAAUACUUUUAUGAUCUGAUCUCAAAUCAGGUAGGACUACCCGCUGAACUUAAGC
rnacentral:misc_RNA from 1 species